rnacentral:rRNA from 1 species
CCCUUAGAUGUUCUGGGCCGCACGCGUGCUACACUGGUGAAUACAGCGAGUGUCCAUUCCCUUGACCGAAAGGUCUGGGUAAUCUUAUGAAAGUUCAUCGUGACAGGGAUUGAUCAUUGCAAUUAUUGAUCAUGAACGAGGAAUUCCUAGUAAAGGCGAGUCAUCAUCUCGCUUUGAUUACGUCCCUGCCCUUUGUACACACCGCCCGUCGCUACUACCGAUUGAAUGGUUUAGUGAGAUCUCCGGAUCGGCGGCCUUGGUACCUUCACGGGUCCAACGGUUCUGCCGAGAAGCUGCUCGAACUUGAUCAUUUAGAGGAAGUAAAAGUCGUAACA